GCAGUCGGACGGUAACGGGUAAGUACUUGUACUUAUGCUGACGAGUGGCGGACGGGUGAGUAAUGCUUGGGAAUCUGUCUUAUGGAGGGGGAUAACGACGGGAAACUGUCGCUAAUACCGCGUAGAGUCGGGAGACGAAAGUGCGGGACUUAAUAGCCGCAUGCCAUGAGAUGAGCCCAAGUGUGAUUAGGUAGUUGGUGGGGUAAAGGCCUACCAAGCCGACGAUCGCUAGCUGGUCUGAGAGGAUGGCCAGCCACACCGGGACUGAGACACGGCCCGGACUCCUACGGGAGGCAGCAGUGGGGAAUAUUGCGCAAUGGGGGCAACCCUGACGCAGCCAUGCCGCGUGAAUGAAGAAGGCCUUCGGGUUGUAAAGUUCUUUCGGUGGUGAGGAAGGGAUGUUGUUUAAUAGAUAACAUCAUUGACGUUAACUACAGAAGAAGCACCGGCUAACUCCGUGCCAGCAGCCGCGGUAAUACGGAGGGUGCGAGCGUUAAUCGGAAUAACUGGGCGUAAAGGGCACGCAGGCGGACCUUUAAGUGAGGUGUGAAAUCCCCGGGCUUAACCUGGGAAUUGCAUUUCAUACUGGGGGUCUGGAGUACUUUAGGGAGGGGUAGAAUUCCACGUGUAGCGGUGAAAUGCGUAGAGAUGUGGAGGAAUACCGAAGGCGAAGGCAGCCCCUUGGGGAUGUACUGACGCUGAUGUGCGAAAGCGUGGGGAGCAAACAGGAUUAGAUACCCUGGUAGUCCACGCUGUAAACGGUGUCGAUUUGGGGAUUGGGGUUUAGCCUUGGUGCCCGAAGCUAACGUGAUAAAUCGACCGCCUGGGGAGUACGGCCGCAAGGUUAAAACUCAAAUGAAUUGACGGGGGCCCGCACAAGCGGUGGAGCAUGUGGUUUAAUUCGAUGCAACGCGAAGAACCUUACCUACUCUUGACAUCCAUGGAAUCCUGUAGAGAUACGGGAGUGCCUUUGGGAACCAUGAGACAGGUGCUGCAUGGCUGUCGUCAGCUCGUGUUGUGAAAUGUUGGGUUAAGUCCCGCAACGAGCGCAACCCUUAUCCUUUGUUGCCAGCGACUUGGUCGGGAACUCAAAGGAGACUGCCGGUGAUAAACCGGAGGAAGGUGGGGAUGACGUCAAGUCAUCAUGGCCCUUACGAGUAGGGCUACACACGUGCUACAAUGGCGUAUACAGAGGGUAACCAACCGGUGAUGGGGAGUAAUCUCAGAAAGUACGUCUAGUUCGGAUG
rnacentral:rRNA from 1 species